rnacentral:tRNA from 1 species
GCCUACGUGAUGUAGUGGUUAGCACGCUCGACACGUAAUCUAGUGUUUCCUGGUUCAAGUCCCGGUGAGGGCA